rnacentral:lncRNA from 1 species
CAGAUGACGUUUUUCAAUUUUACGAUGGCGUUUGUGGUUACAUUCAAUGGAUCAGUUUUUCAUGUUUUAUUUGUGAUUUUGCCUUUCGUUAUAAUUGGUUGAGUAGCCGUCAAGUCCAUAUUUGGUAAGCAACAGAACAUGGAUAUCUUUUACUCCCGUAAUAUCUUACAAAAACUAAGUUUUUAGAAGAAGAUUUGACUUGGCUAUCUACAACACACUCCAAGAUCAUUGAGAUCAUAUCACCACUGUUAGACAGAACAGCUUCAGCUUACCAAUUCUCCAAGUUUUUAGAAGAAGGAUUUGACUUGGCUAUCAACAACACACUCCAAGAUCAUUGAGAUCAUAUCACCACUGUUACAUGGAACAGCUUCAGCUUACCAAUUCUCCAAGUUUUUAGAAGAAGGAUUUGACUUGGCUAGUCAACAACACACUCCAAGAUCAUUGAUAUCAUAUCAUCACUGUUACAUGGAACACCUUUAGCUGUUGUAAAGAUGCUGCCAGCUAUCCAGCUAACGUUGGUCUCAAUCGAUCAUCAACAUAAACUAGUUAUCUCUGCCAACAUCAGUGUUCUUGUUUGUACAAAACACACUCAGGCAUGCCUUAGUGCAUUUUUAGUGCCUCUACAAUAACUCAUUGCAAUUUUAAUGUGGUGAUUUUAUACCUUUUUAAUUAAGUUCAUUUGUACUUAAAUAGGAGUUUUUAUUUUAUUUAUUAUUUUGUUAUUUCAUAUUUUCAUGACAUGGCAACGUCAUGAAAAUUUGCACAUUUCAAACAUAUCGGCAACGUUUAGAGCGUCAAAGUCUCAAAGACGCUCAUCACUUCACGAGAGCAUUUCUCUCGUGGUGAAACCGUGAAAUAGUGUUUCAUUAAUGUGAAAUCAGCAGCCAUCAAGUCGAUAUUCGAAAUUGCCCGUCACAUAAAAGUUCCCAACUCUUCAUCUAUGCGAUGGACAUCACUCAGUGGAGAAAUUCUGAAGUUAGGCAAGAUUUGGAAGCAGAAGUCUUUGAGUUGGAUAUCUGCGAAACUUUGU